rnacentral:rRNA from 1 species
UACGGAGGGGGCGAGCGUUGUUCGGAAUCACUGGGUGUAAAGGGUGCGUAGGCGGUCCGAUAAGUCUGAUGUGAAAGCCCUGGGCUCAACCCAGGAAGUGCAUUCGAAACUGCCGAGCUGGAGUCCUGGAGAGGAAGGCGGAAUUCUCGGUGUAGAGGUGAAAUUCGUAGAUAUCGAGAGGAACACCGGUGGCGAAGGCGGCAUCCUGGACCGAUACUGACGCUGAUGAGCGAAAGCCAGGGGAGCAAACGGG